rnacentral:rRNA from 1 species
UCUUGACAUCCCGGAGACCCUUAGGAAACUAGGGGGUGCUUCCAUCUGGAAGAAUCUGGAGACAGGUGCUGCAUGGCUGUCGUCAGCUCGUGUCGUGAGAUGUUGGGUUAAGUCCCGCAACGAGCGCAACCCUUGCCUUUAGUUGCCAGCAGUUCGGCUGGGCACUCUAAAGGGACUGCCGGUGUUAAACCGGAGGAAGGUGGGGAUGACGUCAAGUCCUCAUGGCCUUUAUGACCAGGGCUACACACGUACUACAAUGGCCGAUACAAAGGGCAGCGACACUGCGAGGUGAAGCCAAUCCCGUAAAAUCGGUCUCAGUCCGGAUUGGAGUCUGCAACUCGACUCCAUGAAGUUGGAAUCGCUAGUAAUCGUGGAUCAGCAUGCCACGGUGAAUACGUUCCCGGGCCUU